AAACGUAGGAGACAAACGUUAUCCGGAUUUACUGGGCGUAAAGCGUGUGCAGGUGGCCUGUUAAGUGGUGUAUGAAAAUCGCCCGGCUCAACCCGGGCGGGGUUAUGCCAGACUGGCAGGCUAGAGGGUGGGAGAGGGAUGUGGAAUUCCGGGUGUAGAGGUGAAAUUCGUAGAUAUCGGGAGGAACACCAGUGGCGAAGGCGACUACCUGGCCUGUUCUUGACGCUGAGGCGCGAAAGCCAGGGGAGCAAAACGGG
rnacentral:rRNA from 1 species